AAGUCGUAACAAGGUUUCCGUAGGUGAACCUGCGGAAGGAUCAUUAACACGUAUCCACGUAUCAACCCCUAGUGUCACGAGUGCGCGUUUGUUUUACUACAGUGCGUGCUCAGUUUUCUACUUUUUUUCCACAAUGAAUUUUAACCACUUGAACCCAUCAGACUAAAACUAUUUCGUGCUUUUUUUUUGCGCAAGCGAGAAAGAACCGAAACAAUAAAAUAACAAGAAACAACUCUUAGCGACGGAUUUCUUGGCUCCC
rnacentral:misc_RNA from 1 species